rnacentral:rRNA from 1 species
UACGAAGGGGGCUAGCGUUGCUCGGAAUCACUGGGCGUAAAGCGCACGUAGGCGGAUUGUUAAGUCAGGGGUGAAAUCCUGGAGCUCAACUCCAGAACUGCCUUUGAUACUGGCGAUCUUGAGUCCGGGAGAGGUGAGUGGAACUGCGAGUGUAGAGGUGAAAUUCGUAGAUAUUCGCAAGAACACCAGUGGCGAAGGCGCUCCCUGGCCCGGUACUGACGCUGAGGUGCGAAAGCGUGGGGAGCAAAGCAGG